rnacentral:rRNA from 1 species
CUUUUAUUGAGAGUUUGAUCCUGGCUCAGGAUGAACGCUGGCGGCGUGCCUAACACAUGCAAGUCGAACGAAGCACCUGGAUGGAUUCUUUCGGGAGGAAGUUCUUGUGACUGAGUGGCGGACGGGUGAGUAACGCGUGGGCAACCUGCCUCAUACAGGGGGAUAACAGC